CUCUCUCUCUCCUCUCUCUUUCUCUCUCUCUCUGUCUCCCGAGAACAACAAUCGGCCUCCUCGCUCAGCAACCCUUCAGCAACCCUAAUUCCCCACCCUAGAUUCUGUGGACUCUGGAAUCUCUCUCAUUGGAAGCCGCCUCCAUUCUCAGCAACUCUAAAUAAAAAUUAGUGGUUUCAAUCAACCAUUCACAGCAAGGUAAAAAUUAUUUCUUAUGGUUAUGUGGAUGCAACGGCUGCUGUUCUUUUGAGUCAAAAGUUGACAGUUGCAAACACCGAUUGAUGGAGGACUUCACAUUUCACUUGAUGUUUCCAAGCCAGAAAACAAUGCCGCACUACCUUCGGUCGAUGAAUUUACCUUGUUUCAUGGUUAAUUAUUUGUAAACUUAAUACUACGCCUUUUGGAGGGUAUUCCUUUUUCUCUUAUGGGACCAUUUAUCUUUUACUUUUUGUGGUGUGUUCAUUGUUUGUAUUGAUUUGUUAUGAUGGGGCUGUCUCGUUAUCUUGGGAUAGUGCCUGAUUGGGUUUGGAAUUUAUGACAGGUUUUGUAUGAUAUAUGGCUUGAAAAACCAAAAAUAUGGCAGAAGUGCUCAAUUGGGUGGAAUUUAUGACAGGUUUUGUAUGAUAUAUGGCUUGAAAAACCAAAAAUAUGGCAGAAGUGCCCAAUUGGGUUUG